GCUAGGGCCGCUCCCGGCUGCGCGGAGCGAUAAAAAAUGGAAAGAAGAAUUCUUCCAAAAACAACCCUUUGCCUCAAAAAGAACAGCUGCUGCGUUCCCUUACAAGCACCCCAACUCAAGGCAGGAGUGUGGUCUGUACAGAGAGGCAUACCAAAAGGCAUGAAGAUGCUUUCUUAAAGAGUGCUACAACAAGAAAAGAAAAAUAUCCAGUUUUAUGAUGUGUCCCUGUGUAAAACCAUUAUGAAGGGCUCAAACCCAAGGAUCUGCCCAACAUCUUUGAUCCUUCAGGCAGAUGAGAGCUCACCACUGAACAUAUUGAGUAAGUCCAUGGCUGCCAGCAUAUUGCAGGAACUUGGACAGAAAUUGCAGCUCCUUGCUGGGUAUGAGACUGGUGACAUGCUAACCUGUUGCUGGAGAGAGCUCAGUGAGGGGAUUGAUUAACAUAAUUAGCCCCAGAAGUCACUAGUGUACAAAAGUGUGGGAACCAGGUGAAGUCAAGUCUCAGAGGAGGUUGAAAGUGGUGCUCUUGAAUCCAAAUGUACAGAGUGUGCCUUCUGAGGAGAACAAUGCAAGAAAAGCUUUGCUUUGCUUUACCAGCCUGCACUACAAAGGAAAAAAGAAAACCUGAGACGGCACCAAACAUGUCUCUCGGAAGUAAAGCUCCUGCUGUGCAAACUGAUGCCAGUCAGACACCCAUCACAAUCAGCUUCUCACUCUCAUCCAAGAUCUGUGAAGAAAGAGCAGCAGCGUAACAGUGAUGCUUAAUCAGGAAAGAGGUCUGGUGACUAAUAUAAAUGAAUGGUCAGAGAAUGGAAAUGGCCUUGGGAUGGCAGGCAUGUCCAGCCAGGUAUA